CGCGUAGGUGGCUUGUCAGGUCCGAUGUGAAAACCUGGGGCUCAACUCCAGGCCUGCAUCGGAAACCGGCUUGCUAGAGUCUGGGAGAGGAGAGUGGAAUUCCUGGUGUAGCGGUGAAAUGCGUAGAUAUCAGGAGGAACACCGGUAGCGAAGGCGGCUCUCUGGAACAGUACUGACGCUGAGGCGCGAAAGCUAGGGGAGCGAACA
rnacentral:rRNA from 1 species